rnacentral:rRNA from 1 species
GAUGAACGCUGGCGGCGUGCUUAACACAUGCAAGUCGAACGAAGCACUUUAUUUGAUUUCCUUCGGGACUGAUUAUUUUGUGACUGAGUGGCGGACGGGUGAGUAACGCGUGGGUAACCUGCCUUGUACAGGGGGAUAACAGUUGGAAACGGCUGCUAAUACCGCAUAAGCGCCCAGCAUCGCAUGAUGCAGUGUGAAAAACUCCGGUGGUAUAAGAUGGACCCGCGUUGGAUUAGCUAGUUGGUGAGGUAACGGCCCACCAAGGCGACGAUCCAUAGCCGACCUGAGAGGGUGACCGGCAACAUUGGGACUGAGACACGGCCCAAACUCCUACGGGAGGCAGCAGUGGGGAAUAUUGCACAAUGGGCGAAAGCCUGAUGCAGCGACGCCGCGUGAGCGAAGAAGUAUUUCGGUAUGUAAAGCUCUAUCAGCAGGGAAGAUAAUGACGGUACCUGACUAAGAAGCACCGGCUAAAUACGUG